GGGCCCGCACAAGCGGUGGAGUAUGUGGUUUAAUUCGAUGCAACGCGAAGAACCUUACCAGGGUUUGACAUCCUGCGAAUCUCUUGGAAACAGGAGAGUGCCUUCGGGAACGCAGUGACAGGUGGUGCAUGGCUGUCGUCAGCUCGUGUCGUGAGAUGUUGGGUUAAGUCCCGCAACGAGCGCAACCCACGUCUUUAGUUGCCAGCAUUAAGUUGGGCACUCUAGCGAGACCGCCGGUGAUAAACCGGAGGAAGGUGUGGAUGACGUCAAGUCAUCAUGCCCCUUACAUCCUGGGCUACACACGUACUACAAUGCUACGGACAAAGGGCAGCAAACUCGCGAGAGCUAGCAAAUCCCAUAAACCGUGGCUCAGUUCAGAUCGUAGGCUGCAACUCGCCUACGUG
rnacentral:rRNA from 1 species